CCCAAAGUGCCAGGAUUACAGGCAGGAGCCACCGCACCCGACCUAUUUUCUUUCUUAAACUUUUUUGUUUUACAGUCACCACAAUUUCACCAUGCAUAAAUCACAAUGGUUAACAAUUUAGCAUCUUUGCCUUCUUUCCCAGUGCACUUACGUUUUUAUGUAGCCAGGAUCACACAUUGUUGUAUUUUGCUGCUUUACUUAAUGGCAUCUAAGUCGUUAGCACUAUAUCAUGAUAAUUUAUCUUAAAAAUAUUCCAAGCUAUCAUUUUUAAUAACUAUAUAAUAUAUCAUAAAGUUAAAACAUAAUUUAUCAUUCAAUUGUUGAAAUGUUUAGGUUACAUAUAUUUUCUCUUAUAAAUAUGCAAAUAUGUAUAUAAAAAUUUAUAUACAAUUUUUUAUAAAUCUUUGUUCAUACUUUAUACUGUUUCCUUAGAAUCGAGUCUAUGGAAUAGGAUUUCUUGAAAAAAGAGAAGUAUGAAAAGCUAAUGAUGAAAAACUUUCAAACAUAAAAAUAUAUGACAUUAAGAAAAAAUUGUGUGGAGAAGUACAAUGGAAAUACAGUUUUACGUAGAGAAGGUAAGAAUACAAGAUUUGACUUAAGAGCUUGUUCUUGAGUUUUUUAAUAGGUCAUGGUUGCUGUUAAAUUCUUACGGUAUUUGUAAUCCACUGAGUACGUUUAAAAGAGUGGGAUGUAUAUUUGGUUUUAAAAUGUUAAUAUUUAUAAUAUAUCAGGGUUUUAGACGAUGUGAAAGGAGACAGAGUUGUUCAGAAUUCUGUUGGGGACUACACUAAAAGUUUGGAAACCACGGAUAUGUAUACUUUCUUUAGAAUCAAAGCGAUAGCACUGUAGCUCCUCAGAAGGGAGGGCAGCUUUGAGCUUGGUCCUAUCACCUUGAUAAGGAAUGUCUCUACAGUAGCCUGACAUCGGGUCACCCAGGUAUUCUUUGGACACUGUGACACAGAGCCCAGAACCUCUCAGCACAGAGGGAUUACAGACUAAGAAUCCGGAUAACUGGUUUCUAAUCUUGGUUUGCUGCUACCUAUGUCAUCUCAGGCAACUCACAUCACCUAUUUGGGCCUGAUUUCCAUGUCUGUAAGUGAGAGAGCUAAUCCUUAUUGUGUUUAUUAGAAGUUGAAUAAUGACAUGAAAUCCACCAUCCUCAUCCUAAGAUGUGCCCGUUGGAGUUUAAAAAACAAAAGCAAAAACCUGUUCUUUCCCUACCUAUCAGCCUUUCAGAUAUCAGAAGGCACCUUUUAUGUUCCCGUCAAAUCUUUACCAGUUUUAAAAUAUGUUGUUUUUCAACCUUGACUUACAUAGUCUUUUUUUUUUUUUUUUCCUUGAGA